rnacentral:lncRNA from 1 species
AUGGGAUUUAAGCCUGAAUUCUAAGACUACCCUUUUGAGAUCUACUCUAGAGAUGUACUCAUUGAUCUUGUUUUCUCCUUUGUAUACAAGAGACUCCUAUCAGAUGGGAAAUGCCAACUGCUGCCAUGUAGACCACAGAUAAGGGGGAGCUGAAGACUGAACUCUGUCCACCAUUCUUUGUUCUAAAUUUCUUCCUGAGGGGCCUAGAGAAAUUCACAUCCACAGGCCACACCUUAACAUUUUUUUUUGUUAACCCUAAGUUUUUAGACAAAGCCUUGCUUCCUUAACCAAUUGCAAAUCAAAGAAUCUCUGAAUCUACGUAUGACCUGUAAACCCCCUGCAUCAAGAUAUCCUGCCUUUUGGGGCCAAACCAAUGUAACCUCCAUGUAUUGAUUUACAGUUUUGCCUGUGUAAACCAAAAGGUGACUGAGGUAGGUGUCUCAAUUGAUUAGAGGUUUAUUUAGCCAAAGUGGAGGACAUGCCUGGGAAAACCACAAAUCAUAGGAGAAUUUGUGAUCUACGCUUUUGCCAAGGGUGUCGUGAACUUCAGUAUUUAAAGGGGAAAGAGCAAAUAGGAGGGAGGGAGGCAGUGAGGCAGAUCAUUACAUUCUUGUGAGGCUCUAAGUAGCCUUACUAAAUCUACGUUUUACAUAUGAAAAUAGGGAGUAGUGGAAAAGUCAAUAAUGCAUUGUCUCAUUCCCAAUAAAUCUAUAUUUUAUAUAAGAUACAUUUUAGGGAGGCAGAAAUUACAGGCAAAAGCAUAAAUCAAUACAUGGAAGGUUUACAUUGGUUUGGCCCAGAAAGGUAGGACAUCUUGAAGUAGGGGCUUCCAGGUCAAAGGUGGAUCCAAAGGUUUUCUGAUUGGCAAUUGAUUGAAAGACUUAAGCUUUGCCUGAAGAGUUUGAAGUUAGCAUAAAGAAAUGCUUGAGUUGAGAUAAGGGGUGCUGUGGAAGCCAGGGUUCUUGUCAUGUAGCUGAAGCUUCCAGAUAGGAGGUUUCAGAGAGAAUAGAUGGUAAAUUUCCCCUACUGGGCCUUACAAGGUGUCAGACUCUCCAGAAGAAGACCUAGCAAGGGAAGGAGAUUCUUUACAGAUUGCAAAUUUCUCUCACAGAGACAGCUUUGCAGAGUCAUUUCAAAAUAUGUAAAAAAAUACAUUUUGGGGUAAAACACUUUGAUUUCCUUCAGGGCUUACUGUCUGUCAUGUGAUGCCAUACCAGAGUCAGGUUGGAAUUUGGUGUCCAAAGAGUCUGUUUGGUCAGUCUUGUGAUCUCUAUUUUAAUGUUAACAUUGGUUGGUUGUGCCUAAAUUCCAAAGAGAGGAGGGUAUAACGAGGCCUGUCCAGCUUUCCCUUCCCAUCACACCUGAGCUAGUUUUUCAGGUUUCUUUGGGACCACCUUGCAAGAGAGGGAUCCAUUUAGUCAGCUGAGGGCUUAGAAUUUUAAUUUUGGAUUACAAGGUAAACAAAAACAUUUUAUUCUCUCUUAAUGUUACAUGAAAAUCUUGUUCAAAAGAGAAAACCAAAUUUACCUUUGUAUUUAGUGUAUUAUUAAAAGCUAAUUGUAUGUAUGUAUGUAUAUGUAUAUGUGUUUGUGUGUAAGAAAUGUUAGUUUGAUUUAACCAGUUUUCACAGCUGAAUACUUAUUCUAUAAAAACUUUACAGAUUAUGCAGUUUAUAUAUAGUUCAAACUACUGAAUGAAAAGGUAGGCCCCACAGAUGCAAAACUACUGUACCCAUCAAUCCAAGGUAAAGGUAGAUUUACACACUGUACAGCACUUUGCAUGGCUGGGGUGGUGGUCAGUUCUGAGUAUAAACUUCAACAUUGUACAGAAAUAAGGUUUUGAUUUUUUUUCACUCUUCAUACAUUCAAUAUGAUUGCAAACUCAGAAGCCUAACUAAUAAUAAGUGAUAUGGUUUGGCUAUAUACCCACCCAAAUCUCACCUUGAAUUGUCAUAAUCCCUAUGUGUCAAGGGUGGGGCCGGGUGGAGAUAACUGAAUCUUGGGGACAGUUCUCCCCAUACUGUUCUUGUGGUAGUGAAUAAGUCCUAUGAGAUCUGAUGGUUUUAUAAAUAGGAGUUCCUCUGCACAAGCACUCUUGCCUGCUGCCAUGUAGGACAUGGCUUUGCUUCUCCUUUGCCAUCUGCCAUGAUUGUGAG